UACGUAGGGUGCAAGCGUUAAUCGGAAUUACUGGGCGUAAAGCGUGCGCAGGCGGUUUUGUAAGUCUGUCGUGAAAGCCCCGGGCUCAACCUGGGAAUUGCGAUGGAGACUGCAAGGCUUGAAUCUGGCAGAGGGGGGUAGAAUUCCACGUGUAGCAGUGAAAUGCGUAGAGAUGUGGAGGAACACCGAUGGCGAAGGCAGCCCCCUGGGUCAAGAUUGACGCUCAUGCACGAAAGCGUGGGUAGCAAACAGG
rnacentral:rRNA from 1 species